UACGGGGGGGGCAAGCGUUGUUCGGAAUUACUGGGCGUAAAGGGCUCGUAGGCGGCCAACUAAGUCCGACGUGAAAUCCCCAAGCUUAACUUGGGAACUGCGUCGGAUACUGGAUGGCUUGAAUUCGGGAGAGGGAUGCAGAAUUCCAGGUGUAGCGGUGAAAUGCGUAGAUAUCUGGAGGAACACCGGUGGCGAAGGCGGCAUCCUGGACCGGGAUUGACACUGAGGCGCGAAAGCCAGGGGAGCAAACGGG
rnacentral:rRNA from 1 species